rnacentral:rRNA from 1 species
GCAUAUCACUAAGCGGAGGAAAAGAAACCAACAGGGAUUGCCUCAGUAACGGCGAGUGAAGCGGCAAAAGCUCAAAUUUGAAAUCUGGCCUCUGGUCCGAGUUGUAAUUUGAAGAAGCGACUUUGGUACCGGCUCUUGUCUAUGUUCCUUGGAACAGGACGUCACAGAGGGUGAGAAUCCCGUGCGAUGAGAUGUCCGGUGCUAUGUAAAGCGUUUUCGACGAGUCGAGUUGUUUGGGAAUGCAGCUCUAAGUGGGUGGUAAAUUCCAUCUAAAGCUAAAUAUUGGCGAGAGACCGAUAGCGAACAAGUACAGUGAUGGAAAGAUGAAAAGAACUUUGAAAAGAGAGUGAAAAAGUACGUGAAAUUGUUGAAAGGGAAGGGCUUGAGAUCAGACUUUGUAUUUCCAUGGCGCUCUUUCGGGGGUGUCCUCUGGGUUUACAGGGCCAGCAUGGGUUCUGCGGGCGAGAUAAGGACUUAGGAAUGUGGCUCCGCUUCGGGGGAGUGUUAUAGCCUGAUGUACUGGUCGCCACGCGGGACCGAGGACUGCGAAUCUAGGAUGCUGGCAUAAUGAUCUUAAGCCGCCCGUCUUGAAACACGGACCAA